UACAGAGGGGGCAAGCGUUAUUCGGAAUUAUUGGGCGUAAAGGGCGCGUAGGCGGCUUGGCAAGUGGAUGGUGAAAUCCCUCGGCUUAACCGAGGAACUGCCAUCCAGACUGCUUUGCUUGAGGCCGGGAGAGGUAAGUGGAAUUCCCAGUGUAGCGGUGAAAUGCGUAGAUAUACGGAGGAACACCAGCGGCGAAGGCGGGUUGCUGGGCUGAUACUGACGCUGAGGCGCGAAAGCCAGGGGAGCGAACGGG
rnacentral:rRNA from 1 species